CAGUGGGAGACCUGGCUUUGUAUCCUCACCCCAAAGGUGGGAAAUGGAACGCGGAACUCCGGGGAAUUUGAGAGGUGACGGGGCUGUACCUCGACCGGCUGCACGUCCAUGGUUUUUCGCCGCCGGCUCCCAGCCACCAUCUCCUCGUCCUCCUCCUCCUUCUCCUCAUCGCCGGGCUUAAGCUCGGCCGCGGUGGGGGCGGCAGAAACGCUCUCCAAGCUAGGACGGUUCCUUUUGCGGACCGACACCCGCCGGCGGAUGCGGGAACAACCUUCAUCCAUGGCAGGGGCUGGGGGCGCUGCCCGAACGUCGUUCCGCGUGACCCAGCCGCCAAACCCCAGUGAAGGGGUGAGCGCAGCAACAGCGGGAGGGUAGCAACAGGCGGAAACUGCGCUCGCCUCUCCAUCCACCUUUGAGAAGGAUCACAAACCAAUAGUUGGGGCCUUGGGGCCGGAAGCGGAGGCACAGACGCAGGAGCCCGCCCUCUCUUCGUCCAAUCCGUUCGCCUUCGGAACCUUUGAACCGAGUACUUGGGCCAACAGGGGAAGCAUACCGGAAGUGACUUGCAGACGAUUUGGAAAAAGGAAAGGAAGAGGAGGAGCAACGAACCAUGGCAGCUCUGGUAGCCCUUUGCAGUGGGCUAGGAAGGAGAACGUUAACGCACUUCGUAACGGCUGCUGUCUGCCUCACAGAUUCUGGGACACAUGCAGUGCUGUGGAGAAGAAGUUGUUCACAAUAUAAACAGGUAACCAGCAAUGAGGACCUGCCUGUUCCAAUGGAAAAUCCUUAUAAGGAGCCUCUGAAAAAAUGUAUCUUGUGUGGAAAACGUGUAGAUUAUAAGAAUGUACAGCUUUUAUCCCAGUUUAUUUCUCCAUUUACUGGAUGCAUUUAUGGAAGGCACAUAACAGGUAUUUUGUUUUCUAUAUAUUAUAGCAACUUAAAUGUAGUUAAGACUUAUAUAAAGCUACUUCUGUUAUUUAAGGAAACUGGCAGAUUUUCAAAUCUACAAAUUACUAUGCUACAAGUUACUAUGACACCAGAUACUAUGGGUAGUUUGAGAAAGCCUCUUCUUAGGCCAAAGACAUGCAAUUAUUUUGCAUGUCUUCUUAUACUCAGUUAACUAUAGGCUGACAACAUGUAGAAAACUUGGGCUUAAGAAAAUUGCUUUGCUGUUUGGGAGUAUACUAUAAUCAUCCCCAGGCUAUUAUUUAAACCAGGGGCCUAUUGCCUAUAGGCCAAAUCGGAUCUGCCACUUGUUUUUGUAAAUAGCUUAGUUUCCAUAGUGUCUGAGCUACAAGCAGAAUUGAGUAAUGAUGCCAGAGACUGUAUGGCCCACAAAGCCUAAGAUAGUUACUAUCUGGCUCUUUACAGGUUUUCUAGUCCUUCCAUGACAUAGACAGUUGUUAUGCAUUUUGAUUACUGGCAUUUUUUUUACAAAUAAGAAAGCAAUUUCUUUUAUAGGUCUUUGUGGGAAGAAACAAAAAGAAAUCACAAAAGCAAUUAAGAGAGCUCAAAUAAUGGGGUUUAUGCCAGUUACAUACAAGGAUCCUGCAUAUCUCAAAGACCCUAAAGUUUGUAACAUCAAAUACAGGGAGUAAAUUCUAUAAAGUUAUCAUCAAUAAAUUUAUUUUACAGUU